CCUACGUGAGGCAGCAGUGGGGAAUAUUGCACAAUGGGGGAAACCCUGAUGCAGCGACGCCGCGUGAGUGAAGAAGUAAUUCGUUACGUAAAGCCCUAUCAGCAGGGAAGAAACAUUGCCCUUACGGUCAGCAGACGGUACCCGAGUAAGAAGCCCCGGCUAACUACGUGCCAGCAGCCGCGGUAAUACGUAGGGGGCAAGCGUUAUCCGGAUUUACUGGGUGUAAAGGGAGCGGAGGCGGUGCGUCAAGCCUGGAGUGAAAUGCCGCAGCUUAACUGCGGAACUGCUUUGGAAACUGGCGAACGAGAGUGCGGGAGGGGUAAGCGGAAUUCCUAGUGUAGCGGUGAAAUGCGUAGAUAUUAGGAGGAACACCAGUGGCGAAGGCGGCUUACUGGACCGUGACUGACGUUGAGGCUCGAAAGCGUGGGGAGCAAACAGGAUUAGAUACCCGGGUAGUC
rnacentral:rRNA from 1 species